GCUGGGUGUGAUGGCACACACCUGUAAUCCCAGCUACUCGGGAGGCUGAGGCAGGAGAAUUGUUCCAACCCAGGAGGCCGAGGUUGCAGUGAGCCAAGAUCGCACCACUGCACUCUAGCCUGGGUGACAGAGCGAGACUCUGUCUCAA
ensembl:misc_RNA Metazoa_SRP Metazoan signal recognition particle RNA